UAGCUAGUUGGUGAGGUAACGGCCCACCAAGGCGACGAUUGGUAGCCGGACUGAGAGGUUGAACGGCCACAUUGGGACUGAGACACGGCCCAGACUCCUACGGGAGGCAGCAGUGGGGGAUAUUGCACAAUGGGGGAAACCCUGAUGCAGCGACGCCGCGUGGAGGAAGAAGGUUUUCGGAUUGUAAACUCCUGUCGUUAGGGACGAUAAUGACGGUACCUAACAAGAAAGCACCGGCUAACUACGUGCCAGCAGCCGCGGUAAAACGUAGGGUGCAAGCGUUGUCCGGAAUUACUGGGUGUAAAGGGAGCGCAGGCGGACCGGCAAGUUGGAAGUGAAAACUAUGGGCUCAACCCAUAAAUUGCUUUCAAAACUGCUGGCCUUGAGUAGUGCAGAGGUAGGUGGAAUUCCCGGUGUAGCGGUGGAAUGCGUAGAUAUCGGGAGGAACACCAGUGGCGAAGGCGACCUACUGGGCACCAACUGACGCUGAGGCUCGAAAGCAUGGGUAGCAAACAGGAUUAGAUACCCUGGUAGUCCAUGCCGUAAACGAUGAUUACUAGGUGUUGGAGGAUUGACCCCUUCAGUGCCGCAGUUAACACAAUAAGUAAUCCACCUGGGGAGUACGACCGCAAGGUUGAAACUCAAAGGAAUUGACGGGGGCCCGCACAAGCAGUGGAGUAUGUGGUUUAAUUCGAAGCAACGCGAAGAACCUUACCAGGUCUUGACGUCCGAUGCAUAGUGCAGAGAUGCAUGAAGUCCUUCGGGACAUCGAGACAGGUGGUGCAUGGUUGUCGUCAGCUCGUGUCGUGAGAUGUUGGGUUAAGUCCCGCAACGAGCGCAACCCUUAUUGCCAGUUACUACGAAAGAGGACUCUGGCGAGACUGCCGUUGACAAAACGGAGGAAGGUGGGGAUGACGUCAAAUCAUCAUGCCCUUUAUGACCUGGGCUACACACGUACUGCAAUGACGUUUAACAAAGAGAAGCAAGACCGCGAGGUGGAGCAAAACUCAAAAACAACGUCUCAGUUCAGAUUGCAGGCUGCAACUCGCCUGCAUGAAGUCGGAAUUGCUAGUAAUCGCGGAUCAGCAUGCCGCGGUGAAUACGUUCCCGGGCCUUGUACACACCGCCCGUCACACCAUGAGAGCCGGGGGGACCCGAAGUCGGUAGUCUAACCGCAAGGAGGACGCCGCCGAAGGUAAAACUGGUGAUUGGGGUGAAGUCGUAACAAGGUAGCCGUA
rnacentral:rRNA from 1 species